rnacentral:rRNA from 1 species
UACAGAGGGUGCGAGCGUUGUCCGGAAUCACUGGGCGUAAAGGGCGCGUAGGCGGCUUCUUAAGCGUGUGGUGAAAGCGCGGGGCUCAACCCCGCGUCGGCCGUGCGAACUGGGGAGCUGGAGCACGUCAGAGGCAGGCGGAAUUCCGGGUGUAGCGGUGGAAUGCGUAGAGAUCCGGAAGAACACCGGUGGCGAAGGCGGUUAGCUGGGCAGUUGCUGACACUGAGGCGCGACAGCGUGGGGAGCAAACAGG